rnacentral:rRNA from 1 species
UGGGAGGCUUUGAAGUGUGGACGCCAGUCUGCAUGGAGCCGACCUUGAAAUACCACCCUUUAAUGUUUGAUGUUCUAACGUGGGCCCCUUACCGGGGUUGCGGACAGUGUCUGGUGGGUAGUUUGACUGGGGCGGUCUCCUCCUAAAGAGUAACGGAGGAGCACGAAGGUUGGCUAAUCCUGGUCGGACAUCAGGAGGUUAGUGCAAUGGCAUAAGCCAGCUUGACUGCGAGCGUGACGGCGCGAGCAGGUGCGAAAGCAGGUCAUAGUGAUCCGGUGGUUCUGAAUGGAAGGGCCAUCGCUCAACGGAUAAAAGGUACUCCGGGGAUAACAGGCUGAUACCGCCCAAGAGUUCAUAUCGACGGCGGUGUUUGGCACCUCGAUGUCGGCUCAUCACAUCCUGGGGCUGAAGUAGGUCCCAAGGGUAUGGCUGUUCGCCAUUUAAAGUGGUACGCGAGCUGGGUUUAGAACGUCGUGAGACAGUUCGGUCCCUAUCUGCCGUGGGCGCUGGAGAACUGAGGGGGGCUGCUCCUAGUACGAGAGGAC